rnacentral:lncRNA from 1 species
GUUGACUCAAAGCUAGAGAAAGAUAAUAGUUGAACAGUUCUGAAAAAUGAGUUCCUUCAAAACUGAAGGAUAAGCAAGAGAGAGAGCUAGUUAUAUAUUUUUUUUUACUUUUAUUUUCACUUAUCUAGCGAAUGCAGCUAACUAGUUUAGCCUACUCAAACACCUCACUCAAACAGAGAGGGAUGCUAUGGUUGCUUGCUUGCUAUGCAGCACUGGAACUUCCAAGUCAAGGUCAUGGAACCUUUACACUCUGCUCUGGCGUUCUCACUCGAUGAUGGUGGCUGCUGGUGUUCCUAUCCUGGGAGGUUACAGAGGCAUGGCAGGGGCCUGCAGAGGUCGGGCCAAAGGCCCAUUACUUCACGAGUGCAGCACAGGUAACCUUUGCUGCCUUGCCUACAGAAUGGUGCCAACAUGGGAAGUGGUUGCUUGAGGGAUGGGCCCAAAAAAGUGUCUCCCAUUUUCCCCAUUAUCCCCUGUGCAUUUAUACCUGCGUUUUCUGUUUGUCUGUUGCCAGUUUGUCUUGUCUCGUCAAGCCUACCAGUGUGUUGUUCCAUACUCCUAUUUCUCUAGUUCCCGUUUUCCAGUCUUCCCAGUUCCAACCUUUUCUGCCUGCCCCCGAGCCUGCCUGCCUGCCGUCCUGUACCUAUCUGACUGAGCUGGUUACGAACUUCUGCCGGCCCUGACCCUGAGACUGCCUGCCGCCCUGUACCUGUCAAAGUUGGACCUGGUUACGAACCUCUGCCUGUCCUCGACCUUCCCUUUGCCUGCCUCCUGUGGAUUAAUAAACGAGUCUGUGUAUUGAACCUUCCGUCUCCUGUGUAUGCAUCUAGGUCAUAUCCUGAGUCAUGUUAGCUUAAAAUGUAAUAGCAAAACAGUUUGUUCAAAGCGGUCUCCAGACCCCCUUCACACUAUUCACUGUCCUUUUGGAAAAGUUAAAUUAACUUGGUAAUUGAAGGAGUUUCUGUUUUGAGGGAUAUAGGAUCUGUCAUGUUUGCUAUUAUACAGAAUAUAAUACGUGUCACCAUCUUUUAGAGAAAAUCUUGC